GAUGUUCGCAUAGCUACUUGCAUCAUUGAUACAGAUGAUGCAAGCCCUACUAGGGCGAAUAAAAUUCUAGGUAGAAUUAUGAUAAUGAUUUUGUCUGCCUAUGUGUCUUGACCAAAUUACGUGCCAGCAGUCGCGGUAAUACGUAGAAGACUAGUGUUAUUCAUGUUUAAUCGGUUUAAAGGGUACCUAGACGGUAGAUCAAGCUUUUACAUAUAAAUUAUGUUAAUUAAAGGACUAAUUUGCUAGAGUUACUUACGAGGGGGUAUUAAAGUACUGCUGGUGUAGAGAUGAAAUUCUGUCAUACCUCUUUUCGAAAGAAAAAUCAUGGCACAGGUAUAGGCGAAGGCAUCCCCUUAUGUGAUAACUGACGUUGAGGGACGAAGGCUUUGUGUAACAAACAGGAUUAGAUACCCUAGUAGUUGAAGCAGAAAAUGAUGAAUGUCAUAGAUUAGAUAUAUAAGUUUAUUCUAUAAAUGAAAGUGUAAGCAUUCCACCUCAGGAGUAAUUUGGCAACAUUGGAAUUGAAAUCAUUAGACCGUUUCUGAAACCAGUAGUGAAGUAUGUUGUUUAAUUUGAUGAUCCGCAAAAAACCUUACCACAAUUUGAAUAUUUAUAUUUUUUUUUNAUNGGUUCCUUCUNAAUUU
rnacentral:rRNA from 1 species